rnacentral:lncRNA from 12 species
GAUCUGAGGAAGAUUAAACCAUUCAAAAGAGCAGGGUGCCCAGCAGUUGUCUGGGGCUAAAGUUGUCUUAGAAACACCCACCACAUGCAGAGAUUGCUCCAAGCACUGGGCAGAUUCAGGGAAAGGCACCAGGUCAGCCCUCAGCCUGCAGCAAGGCCAGAGGUUUCUCAGCUAUCAGCAGGAGCAGCCCCUCUCCUCUGCCUCAUUGCUCCUUCACUCCAGCAGCAAUUCCUCUGCCUCUGAAGCCUGUCAGGUCUUCUUGCCAAAGAGAAAGGAAUGACAAAAGCAUUCAAAGGAAAAGAAAAACAGAGAGAUCCCAAGCCUCAUGUGUGACAUAAAGCAAACAAUUCACAUGAUCUUUAUUUUUGUAACCCUCGUCCUCCUCUCACCCUCAUGCCUGUUGUUAUCACUCAGCAUGUUAUUGUUAUUACUUCAAAUUUGUUUUUAAAAGUGCCUAUCCAGUGCUGGAGGUGCCUGAAAACACACUGAAAAUAUACAAAACAUAUGUCCAGCUUAGGCCCUGUGUUCCCUGAGGAAGGGCUGGUAUCCCUGCAGUGCACUCAGCACACUUAUGGCAUGAACAAAUUAUGAACAACAAUAAUAAAGAAUAACUUGUGCCUAUUUAUCUGUUUGGUCUAUGAAACUGAUCUGUCAAUGACCCUGAAAACUCUCGGUGACACACGCUGUGGUGGAGUUAAAACCAAGUUGCUCUUUCCAUUAAUUUUUUUCCAAAAGCUUGAGUCAAAAUCCCAGGGUAGGUGACACAGGG